rnacentral:rRNA from 1 species
CCUACGGGGGACAGCAGUGAGGAAUAUUGGUCAAUGGGCGAGAGCCUGAACCAGCCAAGUCGCGUGAGGGAGUACUGCCCUAUGGGUUGUAAACCUCUUUUGUCGGGGAGCAAAAGCCGGACGUGUCCGGCUGUGAGAGUACCCGAAGAAAAAGCAUCGGCUAACUCCGUGCCAGCAGCCGCGGUAAUACGGAGGGUGCAAGCGUUACUCGGAAUCACUGGGCGUAAAGAGUGCGCAGGCGGGCUUGUAAGUCAGAUGUGAAAUCCUGUAGCUUAACUACAGAACUGCAUUUGAAACUAUGAGUCUAGAGUGUGGGAGAGGUAGGUGGAAUUCUUGGUGUAGGGGUAAAAUCCGUAGAUAUCAAGAGGAAUACUCAUUGCGAAGGCGACCUACUGGAACAUUACUGACGCUCAUGCACGAAAGCGUGGGGAGCAAACAGGAUUAGAUACCCCAGUAGUC